CAAUAGCGUAUAUUUAAGUUGCUGCAGUUAAAAAGCUCGUAGUUGGAUUUCGGGUGGGAAUGGCCGGUCCGCCGUUUCGGUGUGCACUUGCUACGCCCACCUUGCUGCCGAGGACGUGCUCUUGAGUUCACGCUCGGGACACGGAGUCGGCGAGGUUACUUUGAGUAAAUUAGAGUGUUCAAAGCAGGCCUACGCUCUGAAUACAUUAGCAUGGAAUAACACGAUAGGACUCUGGCCUAUCUUGUUGGUCUGUAGGACCGGAGUAAUGAUUAAGAGGGACAGUCGGGGGCAUUCGUAUUUCAUUGUCAGAGGUGAAAUUCUUGGAUUUAUGAAAGACGAACUACUGCGAAAGCAUUUGCCAAGGAUGUUUUCAUUAA
rnacentral:rRNA from 1 species